UACGUAGGCAGCGAGCGUUGUUCGGAGUUACUGGGCGUAAAGGGUGUGUAGGCGGUUGUUUAAGUUUGGUGUGAAAUCUCCCGGCUCAACUGGGAGGGUGCGCCGAAUACUGAAUGACUUGGAGUGCGGGAGAGGAAAGUGGAAUUCCUGGUGUAGCGGUGAAAUGCGUAGAGAUCCGGAGGAACCCCAGAGGCGAAGGCGGCGCUCUGGCUCGCAACUGACGCUCAGACACGACAGCAUGGGGAGCGAACGGG
rnacentral:rRNA from 1 species